rnacentral:rRNA from 1 species
GAGUUUGAUCGUGGCUCAGGAUGAACGCUAGCGGCGGGCCUAAUACAUGCAAGUCGAGGGGUAUAUUACUUUCGGGUAAUAGAGACCGGCGGACGGGUGCGUAACGCGUAUGCAACUUACCCACUACAAGGGAUAGCCCGGGGAAACUCGGAUUAAUACCCUAUGGUACUACAGGAGGGCAUCUGAAAGUAGUUAAAGAUUUAUCGGUAGUGGAUGGGCAUGCGUCUGAUUAGUUAGUUGGUGCGGUAACGGCGUACCAAGACGAUGAUCAGUAGGGGGUCUGAGAGGAUGAUCCCCCACACUGGCACUGAGAUACGGGCCAGACCCCUACGGGAGGCAGCAGUAGGGAAUAUUGGUCAAUGGGCGAGAGCCUGAACCAGCCACGCCGCGUGCG